GAUGAACGCUAGCGAUAGGCUUAACACAUGCAAGUCGAGGGGCAGCAUGGUCUUAGCUUGCUAAGACUGAUGGCGACCGGCGCACGGGUGCGUAACGCGUAUGCAACUUGCCUCACAGAGGGGGAUAACCCGUCGAAAGACGGACUAAUACCGCGUACACUCCAUCUUGGGCAUCCAAGGUAGAGGAAAUGAAAUUCGCUGUGAGAUAGGCAUGCGUCCCAUUAGCUAGUUGGUGAGGUAACGGCUCACCAAGGCGACGAUGGGUAGGGGAACUGAGAGGUUGAACCCCCACACUGGUACUGAGACACGGACCAGACUCCUACGGGAGGCAGCAGUGAGGAAUAUUGGUCAAUGGGCGAGAGCCUGAACCAGCCAAGUCGCGUGAAGGAUGACUGUCUUAUGGAUUGUAAACUUCUUUUAUACGGGAAUAACAAGAGUCACGUGUGGCUCCCUGCAUGUACCGUAUGAAUAAGCAUCGGCUAACUCCGUG
rnacentral:rRNA from 1 species